UCCCAUAUGGCGUAGUGGCUAGCAUACCAGACUUUCACCCCUGCUCCUGAUUAAUCAAAAUCAGGAGAUAUUCGAUAUACACUUGAAGUCCUGGGUUCAGUUCCCGGUUUGAGAA